AUACCGAACUCCAAGGAAAAUACCAAAUGAAAGUUCCAUAUCAAAUGGUAAAAUCAAAAGCUUGAACACAUCAAAUGAAUGGAAAACAACUGUCAUAUUAAAAAAUAACUAUAUUUAAAGAGAAGUAAAAGAUAUUGAAGGGCAUUCAGAAAUCAGAAGUAGAAAACCAAGUGACAAAAAAAAAACAUGACCAAAAGACAGAAUGCAACAUAGGAAACUAAAGACUGGGCAAAUCCAACCCCACCUAAAAUCGCAGAUUAUCUAUGAAUUGUUAACCAUACUUUGGGUUUUCGUCAAACUCACAUUAUAAUUCAUACAAUCCAAUUUACAAUAAACAAAUAGGACAGACAAAAACCAACAACAACAACUGAAUCACAGACUCCUGACUUGGGACAGGCACAUAAUGGAUAAAAAAGAAGAUGUGGUAUGAUUGCCAAUGAGACAGCUCUACACAAGAGACCAAAUGACACAGAAAUUAACAGCUAUAGGUCACUGUACGGCCUUCAACAAUGAGCAAAGCCCAUACCCCAUAGUCAGCUAUAGAAGGCCCUGAAAUAACUAAUGUAAAACAAGAAAAACAAGAAAAACUAACGGCC
rnacentral:lncRNA from 1 species